GAACCCGGCCCACAGUUAAUAUUUAAUACCUUGAUUUUUUUAACAAUUUUUUUCCUAUGCUUAAGUAUUUUUCUACCUUUGUUUCCUUCUGGUUUAUAUUUUCCAAUAUUCCUUCAAUGGUAUGAUUUGUAGUGAGCAAAUCAUGAUUUGUAGUGAGCCAGCCCUUCUUCAACUCAUCCCUCUGAAAUGUCUAUCAUUAAGAGCAUGACAAAAAUGUCUAAAGUCCCCUGGUGGUGGGGGUGGUGUUUCUGAAAAAUGCACACUCCUGGUCUCACUGCAGACCUGCUUAACUGGAAUUACUGUAUAUAUGCGGGCCUUAGGAAGCUGUGUUUUGACCAAGAGGCCAGGUGAUUCUUCUGCUGAGUUAGGGCUGGGAAACAGCACGAGGAGGGAUACAGUAGCUAGAAGUCGUCUUGCCUCUCUGUGAAGUCUUCACUGCCUCGUAGUAACGUCGUUCCCAAAUUCUCAGCAGGUGAACCAAAUGAAAUGGUCAACUAAAAGCCAACCAGGGUAAAACAGAUAUUUUAUUUCUUCUUCUUUUUAUUUUUUUUACAUGGGAGCAUUGACGUGCAUUUAUCCCCAGUCUCUCCUUGUGAGAAGUGAAUUUCUUCAACGUUUAUAGAACAGAGGCAUUCAUAUUAUUGGAUGAAUUAAGGGCAAAAAAUUGAACCUGAUGUGCGAAAAUUUCUGUUCGUGAGAAUCCAGGUUAUUUUAAUUAUCCAAUCAAGAGCCUAAUUCGUAUAAGAGAAACACAGCAGCUCACUGACUAUCUUUUUAACCGAGGACGGCUUGUCUUGACAGAGGGCAUCUGACUGUUUUGGGGAAACUAUUCCUGAUCUUAUUUCAACUAAAAAGCUGCUUGCUAUACCAGCAAAAGCAUCACCAUGAACCAACUCGCCCAAACUUCUCCAUGGAUGAGAUUACCCGGAAGACAGGAGUUCCGCUGCUUGUCUUGGUCUGAAUGUCUGCUUGUUACCUGCUUAGGGUUAUCGACUGUGAUUCUGGGAAUCAUUGUUGUUGUACAGGACCCUUCUGACUCUGUGGUUUUCUCUACUGGAUUAACAAUGAUAGCCAUAGGUGCUUUUUUUAUUGUCCUUACUGGAUUGAUAGCCCUGUGCAUAGUUAGAGUCGAUGAGAACUUGGAGCAAAUCACAAGGCUGAGUCUAGGAGUGACACAAAGAAGCAGAAGUUCCCCAGGAACUACAGAGCCGUCCACGGCUCAGUCAGUGAUUGCCAGCACUGCACUGUAGCUAUACAUUAAACCCUGGAAUCUUCCUCUUUGGAACCAAGUCUCCUGAGCAUUGUUUUUAAAUACAAAUAAAAUCUGGCUUUUAAGAAA